rnacentral:rRNA from 1 species
UACGUAGGCAGCGAGCGUUGUUCGGAGUUACUGGGCGUAAAGGGUGUGUAGGCGGUUGUUUAAGUUUGGUGUGAAAUCUCCCGGCUCAACUGGGAGGGUGCGCCGAAUACUGAAUGACUUGGAGUGCGGGAGAGGAGAGUGGAAUUCCUGGUGUAGCGGUAGAAAUGCGUAGAUAUCAGGAGGAACACCGGUGGUGUAGACGGCUCUCUGGACCGUAACUGACGCUGAGACACGAAAGCGUGGGUAGCAAACAGG